UUUAAUCUUGCGCGUGCAGAACAUUUUUGUGCGCUCAAAAUAUCCUCUUGUGCAUGCAAAAUAACUUUUUGUGCGCUCAACAUUUCAUCUUGCACAUAUAUAACUCCAUAGAGAACUCCUACAGUAGGUGGCUGCACGCGCACGUUGAUCCGGUGCGCUCGAGAUCUCCGCCGCGCGAAGAGAAGCUCAACGGUGUUGUACAGUCCUGUCAAUAAAAACGGAGAGGAGCACGUCAGAAAAGAGGUCUAUCUGUUUAUUUAACCCAUAUUUCCAGAGAGUAAUUGAGGAUUGUUGUAGCUCGUGAGGGACACUUGGAAAGACUUUCUUCAGCGGAUUCUCCGAUCGCGCUUCGGCUCUACCGGAUACCUGAGGCUUGAAUUAUUCCAUGAAGGAUCAAGAGUUGCUUUUUCACGCAAAGUGGAUUUUUUUGCACUCGAUCGUGCCGUGGGUCCGUGUGUGUGUGCGUGUGUGUGUGUGCGCGUGUGUGUGUGUGUGUUCACUGAAGAUCAGAGUCGCUCCUCCUGAUCGGGUGUUUUCUCACUGCGAUCUGUUUCCAUGUUUUUAGGUUUAUGUGAUAUUUCUAAAAUGCAUCAUCAUCAUCACCAUCAUCACCAGAGAAUGGCCACGUUAGGGACGGAUAAAGAACUUAGCGAUUUACUGGAUUUCAGCGCGAUGCCAAACAGCGAUUUGAAAAUGUUCCCAACACCAAUGAUGUUUUCCCCUCCAGUCAGUGGUGGAAAAAAUGGGCCGACAUCUCUAGGAAGUGGACAUUUCUCCGGCUCAAGUAUG